GUGAACCUGCGGAGGGAUCAUUACACAAAUAUGAAGGCGGGCUGGAACCUCUCGGGGUUACAGCCUUGCUCUGAAUUAUUCACCCUUGUCUUUUGCGUACCUCUUGCUUCCUUGGUGGGUUCGCCCACCACUAGGACAAACAUAAACCUUUUGUAAUUGCAAUCAGCGUCAGUAACAAUGUAAUAAUUACAACUUUCAACAACGGAUCUCUUGGUUCUGGCAUCGAUGAAGAACGCAGCGAAAUGCGAUAAGUAGUGUGAAUUGCAGAAUUCAGUGAAUCAUCGAAUCUUUGAACGCACAUUGCGCCCUUUGGUAUUCCAAAGGGCAUGCCUGUUCGAGCGUCAUUUGUACCCUCAAGCUUUGCUUGGUGUUGGGCGUCUUGUCUCUAGCUUUGCUGGAGACUCGCCUUAAAGUAAUUGGCAGCCGGCCUACUGGUUUCGGAGCGCAGCACAAGUCGCACUCUCUAUCAGCAAAGGUCUAGCAUCCAUUAAGCCUUUUUUUCAACUUUUGACCUCGGAUCAGGUAGGGAUACCCGCUGAACUUAA
rnacentral:rRNA from 1 species